UGGACCGGCUAGACAUGAUUAAAGGAUUCCUGCAAAAGGUGUUGGCCUUUGAGAAAAUUCUUGAGGAAAACGAGGAAUUGGAUUCUGAAUACAAAGUAGUUCUACUGCAGAUUGCAGUGCCAACCAGAAGUGACGUACCUGAAUGUAAAGUACAAAGCCAAGUGUGAAGCUAUGAAGCGUAUCAACAAAGAGUAGCAUAUAUAUUAUAAUAGUAGGCAGUAGUAGGUAUAUCUGGGUUGUGGUGUAGUGUAAAGAUUGUAAUAGACAAAUUUAAUGUUGGUUUGGACGAAUUUCAUUUGCUCCCUA